UACCAGCAGCCCAAGUGGUGGUCGCGAUUAUUGGGCCUAAAGCGCUCGUAGCCGGGUCGGCAAGUCCCUUGUGAAAUCGGGCGGCUCAACCGUUCGGCAUGCAAGGGAUACUGCUGGCCUUGGGACCGGGAGACGCCGUGGGUACUUCGGGGGUAGCGGUGAAAUGCUGUAAUCCCCGGGGGACUACCAGUGGCGAAGGCGCUCGGCGAGAACGGGUCCGACGGUGAGGG
rnacentral:rRNA from 1 species